CAAUGCACCUGCAAUGUAAUA
rnacentral:miRNA from 17 species